CGCUGUAAAGCCCCUGUUCCUCGUCCUCGUCCACCACAGCCGCCCCGCGCCCCGCCUCCCCCGCCGAACCGCCCGCGCCCGGCCGCUGCGCUUCCUCUCCUGCUCGACCUCAGCGCCGCCGCUGUUCGCAGCCGUCGCAUCCAUGGACUCGCCGCCCCAGGGUUACCGCACCAACGUCGGCAUCUGCCUCGCCGACCCAUCCCUCACCAAGAUUUUCUCGGCUUCUAGGAUCGACAUUCCUAGCGCGUGGCAGAUGCCUCAGGGUGGUAUAGAUGCAGGGGAAGAACCAAGGGCGGCUGCCUUCAGGGAAUUGAGAGAAGAGACUGGUGUCACAUCCGCAGAGAUCGUGGCUGAGGCUCCCGUCUGGUUAACAUAUGAUUUCCCGCCAGAUGUCAGAACCAAACUGAAUGCCAGGUGGGGAACCGAUUGGAAAGGCCAAGCUCAAAAAUGGUUUUUAUUUAGGCUUACUGGAAAUGACGAUGAGAUUAACCUUAAUGGUGAUGGAUCUGAGAAGCCAGAGUUUGGUGAAUGGACAUGGAUGACACCCAAGGAAGUUAUCGAAAAGGCAGUUGAUUUCAAGAAACCUGUAUAUGAGGAAGCAUUGAAACACUUUGCCCCCUACCUGCAGUCAGAUCCAGCCGCUUCAUCAUAGAAGAUUUGGCCAAUUUGCUUGCAUCCCUGCUGUAUCUGGACCCCCAAUAAUUUGACACGACGCAAUGUAGCCAUGAGGUGUGCUAUACAAUUUGAUAGUGUGUGGCCUGUUUGAGUGAAUUAUAUAUGCCAGCAUUGGAUCCUCGCCCUCUACUUAGUCACAUAAGUAUACAAUAAGUGGUGGAAACAGUUUCAGCCAAUCUGGAACAUGGUGGCCAGUGUAUCUUGUCUGCCAAUGACUGAAUGCUUUAGGUUGAAGCAAUACCAUAAUUCCAGAGAGACUGCGGUACAGCAACCUCAGGUUAUGUGGGGGGUCGUCGGCAAAACGACGCUCGUUUGGCAUUGGCUACGGCAGAAACUAGUGUCUGGCUGCCAUUGGUUGUGGGAGGAGCAGAGGAAAACAAAUUGUUGGUUACACUCUGUACUACUGCGUCAUGAUAUUGUCGGCUUUCGCUUUGUGGCUUUUGGAGGAAAACUGGAGAUGUGGCAGCUUUGGCUUUACGCAUCUUGGAGGAACAGGAGAUAUAAACAC